AUGGAACCUCUUGUUGGAUAUUCACCAGAUAAAAGUCAAAAUAUGGUUCUUAUGGGCGGUUUAAGAAAAUACAUUCCAAUCACAAGAACUACUUUUUUAUGGGGUACACUUUCUCUUUGUGGUAUUCCACCUCUUGCUUGCUUCUGGUCCAAAGAUGGAAUCCUUAGUAAUAGUUGGUUGUAUUCGCCCUUUUUUGGAAUAAUAGCCUCCUUUACUGCAGGAUUAACUGCCUUUUAUAUGUUUCGGAUAUAUUUACUUACAUUUGAUGGGUAUUUGCGUGUUCAUUUUCAAAAUUACAGUAGCACUAAAGAGAGUUCCUUGUAUUCAAUAUCCUUAUGGGGAAAAAGGAUACCCAAAGGAGUGAAUAGGGAUUUCGUUUUAUCAACAACGAAGAGUGGAGUUUCUUUUUUUCACAAAAUAUACCAAAAAUUCAAGGUAAUACAAGAAAUAGGAUAG
rnacentral:rRNA from 1 species